rnacentral:lncRNA from 1 species
UUUUUUCUCUGUUUCCUUUAGUGUUGGUUUGGAUUCCUAAGGAAUUUCCAGGGAAAGAAAAAUGGAGAAACAAGACACUUUCAGAUCGUGUCAUAUCUUGUACAUUAAAAUAAGAAGAAUGUGAACAAGAAAGAUAAGUGAUGGUGCAUAAAUGAGCUAAAGGUGACUCUAGUCUCCAAAACUGGAUGAAGUCUGGAGAGAACCCGCUCAUGUUUCCGAGUCCCAAGUGUGGGGGCAGGGCAACUGAAGAGCUCAGAGAUACAAGCAUGCAUGUGAAAGAACACGAAGGCGGAACCCAAGUUCAACUGAGGACUGAGGGAUGGGCAAAGCACCACCUGUUCUUGGGAAAAAGAAAUUCUCACCCUGGAUCGUAGAGUUGAAGACUGACUAAUCUUUGGUAACUUGACCUUGGAGUUAGGCAAAUAGAAAUAGGUUGAAACUGAUUUUUUUUUAAAGAUGUAUAUUUCCAGAGAAAUUCAUGCCCAGCAAACAACAAGAGCCUGUGAUUACUUAGCCAUUAAGGCAAUCCCCAGACUCUUAAACCCAUAGAAUGAUCUUGUAAUUG